rnacentral:misc_RNA from 1 species
UUUCCGUAGGUGAACCUGCGGAAGGAUCAUUACUGAGUGAGGGCCUUUUAGCUCCCACCUCCCACCCGUGUUCAUUGAACCUUGUUGCUUAGGUGAGCCCGCUUCACUUUAGCCGGUGGGCUUCUGCUUACAGGCUCGUGCUCGCCGACGACACCCUUGAACUCUGUCUGUAGUUUGCAGUUUGUUCGUAAACUAAGUAUUUUAAAAUUUUCAACAACGAACCUUUUUGUUCCGGCAUCGAUGAAGAACUCAACAGAUCGGAUGAGCUACUCUCCGAAA